rnacentral:rRNA from 1 species
AUUGAACGCUGGCGGCAUGCCUAACACAUGCAAGUCGAACGGUAACAGGCCCUUCGGGGUGCUGACGAGUGGCGGAUGGGUGAGUAAUACUUAGGAAUCUACCCUGUAGUGGGGGACAACCCGGGAAACGUCGGGCUAAUACCGCAUACGCUCUACGGAGGAAAGCGGGGGACCGCAAGGCCUCGCGCUAUUGGAUGAGCCUAAGCCCGAUUAGCUAGUUGGUGGGGUAAUAGCCUACCAAGGCAAUGAUCGGUAGCUGGUCUGAGAGGACGACCAGCCACACUGGGACUGAGACACGGCCCAGACUCCUACGGGAGGCAGCAGUGGGGAAUUUUGGACAAUGGGCGCAAGCCUGAUCCAGCCAUGCCGCGUGCGGGAAGAA